rnacentral:rRNA from 1 species
GUGGGGAAUAUUGGACAAUGGGGGGAACCCUGAUCCAGCCAUGCCGCGUGUGUGAAGAAGGCCUUUUGGUUGUAAAGCACUUUAAGCGAGGAGGAGGCUACCGAGAUUAAUACUCUUGGAUAGUGGACGUUACUCGCAGAAUAAGCACCGGCUAACUCUGUGCCAGCAGCCGCGGUAAUACAGAGGGUGCAAGCGUUAAUCGGAUUUACUGGGCGUAAAGCGCGCGUAGGUGGCCAAUUAAGUCAAAUGUGAAAUCCCCGAGCUUAACUUGGGAAUUGCAUUCGAUACUGGUUGGCUAGAGUAUGGGAGAGGAUGGUAGAAUUCCAGGUGUAGCGGUGAAAUGCGUAGAGAUCUGGAGGAAUACCGAUGGCGAAGGCAGCCAUCUGGCCUAAUACUGACACUGAGGUGCGAAAGCAUGGGGAGCAAACAGGAUUAGAUCCCGUGUAGUCC